GGAUUCUCUGCUCUGUAUUUGCUUGCUUAUAUGCCUGCACUUUGAGUUUUGUGAGCUCAUCACGCCAUUGUUGGGCAUUUCCUGCUAGAAGAAACAGCGUGGACGUUUAUAGAUUCCGUCAUUUUGUUCGCCGAAGGGAAUAUUAGGAUUCGGUGUAUGGCGUACCUUCCAACAUAUAGCUUUUCAUUGAGGACGAAAUAUGAUAAAACUGCAACUAACAAUGUUGAUAGGGGAUUGAACAUGGUGACAAAUACAGGUCCCUUUGCUUCUGUACACCAUAGCUGAAUGAAAGUCACUAUGCCUGAGAUGAUUACACCCUGUUCAUUAGAGUAGUUGGAUUAGUCCAUGUCUUACUGAAUCUAGACAACACAUAUUAACCUUAUUGUUAGAUCUUACGCCGUAUAAAGUAGACCAGAGAUCGAUGUUGAAACCAAUUGUCCAUUCUGCUUGUUUGUGUUGUACAAUAACUGUGAAAACAGCAGAUUGUGCUGCCCCUAUGAAAUUCAUCCAUGUAGCCAGUGAAAGCUGCGCUGGAUACCGUUUCAAGGUGUAAGCCUGCAAGAUUUGCUGUUAUGUUUAGGAAUUUUUUAUGUUAUGGCACAAUACUGUUAAUCAAAGCAAUACAAAAUUAGGUAAGUUCAAGAUAAUGGUAGAGAAACAAAAAAAGGACCUGCAUAAUGUACCAUAUCGACCAUGUGAUGCAGCUUGCGACUGCAAGAAGGGAGCCCUUCAACCAGUUCUCAUGGAAGGCUUUGUUUCCUUCACCAACAUGAACUAGUGCACGCCCGAUAUUUUUCAAUCCAGGUCCCUUAUACAAUGUCAUGGUCAUGACACCGGCCAAGGAUAUUGAAGUUCCGAGGAUCUUUGCCAUCCCACGCGGGCUGUGAAGAUUUACUAUCUCCAAUCUGUGCACAAAUCCUCAGGAAAUUGCCAAUGUUAGCAAUCAGAGCCCCCGGAUAUGGUUCGACUUUGAUCCAUUGAUCCUCAUAGAAAACUUGGAGGCCAUUGACAUGGUUUUGGAGAAGAAUUGUGAGAAAUGCAGUAUCAGUGUGCUUUGUGGAUCC